rnacentral:rRNA from 1 species
AUGUUCCGACCUGCACGAAUGGCGUAACGACUUCCCCGCUGUCUCCAACAUCGACUCAGCGAAAUUGAAUUGCCUGUCAAGAUGCAGGCUUCCCGCGGUUAGACGGAAAGACCCCGUGCACCUUUACUACAACUUCACACUGGCAUUAGGCCGAACAUGUGCAGGAUAGGUGGUGGGCUUUGAAGCGUGAACGCCAGUUUGCGUGGAGCCUCCCUUGAGAUACCACCCUUGCUCUGCUUGAUGUCUAACCGCGGUCCAUUAUCUGGAUCCGGGACCCUGUGUGGCGGGUAGUUUGACUGGGGCGGUCGCCUCCUAAAUCGUAACGGAGGCGCGCGAAGGUUGGCUCAGAGCGGU